rnacentral:rRNA from 1 species
AUUGAACGCUGGCGGCAUGCUUUACACAUGCAAGUCGAACGGGGUGAAGGGGCAACCCGUCACCCAGUGGCGAACGGGUGAGUAAUGCAUCGGAACGUACCCUGUAGUGGGGGAUAACGCCGGGAAACCGGCGCUAAUACCGCAUAUUUCUCUAUGGAGGAAAGCGGGGGAUCCGCAAGGACCUCGCGCUAUGGGAGCGGCCGAUGUCCGAUUAGCUAGUUGGGGGGU